AAAGUAGGUCGGAUAGUCGCGGGGUAUUAUUUACCUCGAGGAAAGUCCGAGCUCCACAGGGCAGGGUGCUGGGUAACGCCCAGUGAGGGUGACCUCAAGGAAAGUGCCACAGAAAUAUACCGCAAACCGGAGAUCAGAUGUCAGAGGUCAGUUUGCCGGGACUAUACGAGGAUUGCUGUUUCAAUUCUAGCGAGACUGAUCCUGACAUUUGAUCUCCGGUUUGUAAGGGUGAAACGGUGCGGUAAGAGCGCACCAGCGGUCAGGUGACUGGCCGGCUAGGUAAACCCCACCCGGAGCAAGACCAAAUAGGGGAGAGGUGACGCUGCCCGCCGAUCUCCCGGGUUAGGUCGCUAGAGGUGUUAGGUAACUAACAUCCCAGAGAGAUGACUAUCGCCCCUUAAGGGGAACAGAACUCGGCUUACAGACCUGCUUUGCAU
rnacentral:RNase_P_RNA from 1 species